GUCUGCGGCCAUACUACCAUGAAUGUACCCAAUCUCGGAAGCUAAGCAGGGUCGGGCCUGGUUAGUACUUGAAUGGGGGAAUUCUUAAUGCCUCUUGCCUCAGUUGGUUCUCCUAGAGUCUCUGACC
rnacentral:rRNA from 1 species